rnacentral:rRNA from 1 species
ACGAACGCUGGCGGCGUGCUUAACACAUGCAAGUCGAACGGAAAGGCCCCUUUGGGGGUACUCGAGUGGCGAACGGGUGAGUAACACGUGAGUAACCUGCCCUUGACUUCGGGAUAACUUCAGGAAACUGGGGCUAAUACCGGAUAGGAAUCCUUGCUGCAUGGUGGGGGUUGGAAAGCUUCGGCGGUUUUGGAUGGACUCGCGGCUUAUCAGCUUGUUGGUGGGGUAGUGGCUUACCAAGGCUUUGACGGGUAGCCGGCCUGAGAGGGCGACCGGCCACAUUGGGACUGAGAUACGGCCCAGACUCCUACGGGAGGCAGCAGGGGGGAAUAUUGCACAAUGGGCGGAAGCCUGAUGCAGCAACGCCGCGUGCGGGAUGACGGCCUUCGGGUUGGAAACCGCUUUCAGCAGGGGCGAAGCUUGUGGUGACGGUACCUGCAGAAGAAGCACCGGCUAACUACGUG